GCGUGACUCGAAAAGAAAAAACCCCGCAGCCCUAGCCCGCCGCCACCCCGUGCUGUGCUCGCAUCCUCUCCGUCCCCCGCCGCCACCCCGUGCUCUGCUCGCAUCCUCUCCGUCGCCAGCACCGCCGCUCGUCCAAGAUGGUGCUGCAGAAGCUCGAGAAGCCCAAGCACAAGAAGAAGCGCCUCGCGCAGUCCCCCAACUCCUUCUUCAUGGAUGUAAGUGCCAGGGCUGCUUCAACAUGUAACUGCAAGAUGAGUUCAUCAUCUUUCCCCCCGCUUUACCCCUGUCUUCCUAGCAAAUGCUCUACAUACACAAUAGCAACAUAAAUUCUGAUGGCCGGUGGAGUGUACUAUUGACCAGAGGAACUGAUAUUAAAAAAAAUUGCUAUGCCUUGGUAAAGAUUAGGUUUCUUUAUGCAAUUUUGACAUAGAGAUGCUGAUGUGUGAGAAGGUCUGUAGAUUUAGGAACAUGUGCAUCUUCUAGUAAUACAGGUGUUGUGCUUCGCUCAUGAUGUGCCCUUGUCGGUCGCCUGUGCUAAUGCUGCCGUUGGUACUGCUCGACUAGUUGAAACAUUCGAGUUAAAUGGAUUGAGACAUGUCAGAUGUCACCUCGUAGGUCAAGCUUACUCAAAACUUCGAGCUGAUUAUACUAAUUUUAAAUUUGAAGAUCAUUCCUCGUCAAAUGUUGGAUCUGCCUCCUUUGAUAGUAUGUUGUUUGUCUGUCCCUGAUUUAUAUUGAUGCUUAUGUACCUACCAAGUUCAGUUAACUUAUUCAUUCGCAAAAAAUAAACUGUAGUUCAGUUAAGUCAUUAUGACUGAUGUUUCCAACUUUCUGUUGUCUUGAUCACAGAACGACCGUGUUCAGCCACUCUCAGACCAUGGUGGUGUGCGCAGGGUGGCAGACGGUGCUCUGCCAGCCUACAGGAGGAAAGCGCGAGGGAUGCUCCUUCCACCGCAAAGGCAACACAAAGGGAGGGUUUGGUUCUCGUAGCAACUUUUGUCUGCAUUGCAUGCUUGACCUAGUUGGGCUUGGCUGAGGGAAAACAGGCAAAAAACCAACAUCUGCGUGUUGUUUGUUUGCCUGCAUACCCUCUAGCUUGCGUGGGCGUGACGAAAGGUGGCCUGUUUGGUUGCUCGCUUGUUUAGACGGAAACACAAGGCAUUGGCGUGUUCCGUAGCCCUCAUAGAGGCCAACCAGGCCCGCACAGGAGGAAAAUGGGUUGUUUGAUUCCCUGUGUUCACUGUUGGGCCUGAAUCGCACGGAACUUAAAGCAGCUCCCAGGCAGGCCCGCUAGGAACGUCCAAAUGGCAGUUUUUUCAAAGUCAGUCCACGGGAUGCACGUGGGCGGCGGUGGCUGCACGCGAGUAGCCACACUCGAGAAGUCGCGUUGUCUUCUGAAGCACCAACAAUAAUUACCCUCACCUUCCCUCACCGCUCUCUCUCUCUUCACUCUUCCACUCUCACACCGUCAGUGACGGCGAUCAGCGGAUCGGAGAUCAGCAAGGCGACCACCGUCCAGACUUCACUGGUGUCAGCAACAUCAACGGCAUCUUUUCGGUAAUGGCGAAUAUCAUGCUCUUCCUAUGGCGAUCUCGUCUACUACUGCGACGGAGGUGUUCACCGGUGUGGAGGUUUCAACUCCACGUCUCCCAUCCAGUGCCAAAUGUUGGAGAAAUUCUACCAGAAUGGCAUUCUAAAAGCCCCCCUUGCAUCACCCCCAACUCACAUCUCCUUCUCGGUAUGGCAUGUUGGAAGUGACUCUUGGUCUUAAGUACAGUAUCCUGAUCUUGUGGCAAUAGACCAGAUUGUGGAAUUCAGUGACCAGUUCCUUCUCUCGGAUGGCUUUGGGAGCUGGUGGUUUGCGGUGACAUGCUUCUCAUGCACAAUGCUUCUAAUGGGCUCUACUGCCUCAACAUGUAAAUCAAGCCUGCGGUAUGGAUGGUUGUGUAGAAGCUGAACAACUGGGCACUGAAGCCUGCGGUAUGAAUGGGUGUGGACAGGGGCCGUUAUUUAUUUUUUUUGAAACGGAGGGGCCGUUAUUUGGGUGUCACUGAAACCUGCAUCA